rnacentral:rRNA from 1 species
GCUGGUCCUCAAGCGGGGGCAUGUGCACGCUCUGUUAACACAUCCACUCACACCCUGUGCACCCUCUGUAGUUCUGUGGUUGGGGGACCCAUCCUCCUGCUGUGGUUCUGCAUCUUUACACACACACACUGUAACAAAGUCUCAUGGAAUGCAUCUGCGUUUAACGCAAUACAAUACAACUUUCAGCAACGGAUCUCUUGGCUCUCGCAUCGAUGAAGAACGCAGCGAAAUGCGAUAAGUAAUGUGAAUUGCAGAAUUCAGUGAAUCAUCGAAUCUUUGAACGCACCUUGCGCCCUUUGGCCAUUCCGAAGGGCAUGCCUGUUUGAGUAUCAUGAACACCUCAACUCUUCAUGGUUUUCCGUGAUGAGCUUGGACUUUGGGGGUUUUGCUGGCCUACGGUCGGCUCCUCUAAAAUGAAUCAGCUUGCCAGUGUUUGGUGGGCAUCACAGGUGUGAUAACUAUCUACGCUUGUGGUUUUCCCACCAGGUAACCUUCAGCAGUGGAGGUUCGCUGGAGCUCACAGAUGUCUCUCCUCAGUGAGGACAGCCCUUUGAAUGUUUGAUCUCAAAUCAGGUAGGACUACCCGCUGAACUUAAGCAUAUC